rnacentral:rRNA from 1 species
GAUGAACCGCGUGGCGGCGUGCAUAACACAUUCGAGUCGAACGGAGUUAACGGGAGAGCUUAGCUUGAAGUUUAACUUAGUGGCGGACGGGUGAGUAACGCGUGAGCAACCUGCCCUUGUGUGGGGGAUAACGUUUGGAAACGAACGCUAAUACCGCAUAAAGUAUUUGGAAGGCAUCUUCUGGAUACCAAAGAUUUAUUGCGCAAGGAUGGGCUCGCGUUGGAUUAGAUAGUUGGUAGGGUAACGGCCUACCAAGUCGACGAUCCAUAGCCGGACUGAGAGGUUGAACGGCCACAUUGGAACUGAGAAACGGUCCAG